UCUCCGUAGGUGAACCUGCGGAGGGAUCAUUACAGAGUUCAUGCCCUUCCCGGUAGAUCUCCUACCCUUUGUUAUCGUCACCUUUGUUGCUUUGGCGGGCCGCACAGGCCUUGGCACGGCUACCGGCUCUGGCUGGUACGCGCCCGCCAGAGGACCCUAAACUCUUGAAUAUCAGUGUCGUCUGAUUACUAUGUAAUAGUUAAAACUUUCAACAAUGGAUCUCUUGGUUCUG
rnacentral:misc_RNA from 1 species